rfam:Beta vulgaris subsp. vulgaris chromosome 1, whole genome shotgun sequence.
AUUUUUAUUGGAGUGAUUACCCAGAAUUAUUUUCUGGGUACGAUGAUCUUCACCAUUAUUGAAUAGGAAGAUCUGAUGC